rnacentral:rRNA from 1 species
GACGUAGGGCGCGAGCGUUGUCCGGAAUUAUUGGGCGUAAAGAGCUCGUAGGCGGUUUGUUGCGUCGGCUGUGAAAUCCCGAGGCUCAACCUCGGGUCUGCAGUCGAUACGAGCAAACUAGAGUGUUGCAGGGGAGACUGGAAUUCCUGGUGUAGCGGUGAAAUGCGCAGAUAUCAGGAGGAACACCGGUGGCGAAGGCGGGUCUCUGGGCAGUAACUGACGCUGAGGAGCGAAAGCGUGGGGAGCGAACAGG